AAGAAGGCCGUAGCGUGAAGAAGAUGUUUGUUCGACAAAUGAGUGUGCGAGAGAUACGCAAUCUGCCUGAUAAGAGGAAGAUGUUGAGAAGACAGAAGAGUACCACCGAUCUUGAUACAAGGAGCUUAAGUGAUAUGAAGGGCGCCAUUAGAGAAGAACCAGUUGAUCCCAUCUACCAGACCAUCAAGUGUGCUGCCAAGUUAAC
rnacentral:lncRNA from 1 species